CACCUUUUUGUCCUGUUCCGGCUUCCACAGAUUGGACGAGGCCCACCCACCUUGGGGAGGGGCCAGCUGCUGUGUUCAGUCCGCCAUUGCAAACACGAAGCUCUUCCAGAAACGCCCUCACAGACACCCCGGAAGUCACGUACCCACUCUGUAGGUGCCCCGGGGCACAGGCAAGCGGACGAGCCAGUUAUCCCUCAGAGCUCCUGCUGCCUCGCCCGCUUUCUCUCGGAAACGUGAAGUGUGGCCUCAGCUGAAAGUGAGGUGGGCCUCAUUCAAUCAGUUGAAUUCUUCAAGAGAGAAAAACUGAAGUCCCUUAGAAGGAAAGAGUUCUGCCUUCAGACUGUCUUUGAACUUAAGACUGUAGCGUCGACUCCUGCCGGAAUUUCCAGCCUGCUGGCCAGCUCUGCAGAUUCACACUUGCCAGCCUCCACAAUCGCAGCUGAGGCGGAGGAACCCUAAGGGCUCAUUGAGAUCAUGGAUUUGCCCUUCUAUGCAUUGAUGGAGCACCUGCUGCCCACAGCGUCUGUAUUUGGUGCUGGGAUGCUGAGGACACUGAGAUCUUCAAACAGAGGCUGCCACUCUAAGCAAACAGAUCCCGAGCCCUGGACUCUGAAGCUUGGGCCCAGUUCUCCUUUUCUCCGGGUUUCAGAUCCCACUGUGAAGUGAGGGGGCCCUUCUGAUUCAGGACCCGGGGAAGCCAGGGGCAUGAGCAUCGGUGCCUCUUCUCUAUUUCAAGGACCCUUCUGGGUGUAAAGUUCUCUGAGAUGCCUUACAUGGAUUCCCACCACUGCAAGAUAACCAUCGUAUGUAAAGUGUUAUGACCAGCAGAGCGUAAUUGAAGUGCAUUCCAGAGGGAAAGACAGCGGCUCAGAGGUUGCCUGUGUUCCCUGGCUCAUGGUCCCUUCAUCCUCAAAGCCAGCAGCAUGCCAUCCUCCAAUCUCUCUCAGACUGACUUCUGCUUCCAAGGACACAUCUCUUCCUCUGAUCCUCCUCCCUCCCUUGUGUAAGAACCCUGAUUAGCCUGGACCACCCCCACCCCCGGAUAACCUGAGAUCAGCUCCCCAUCUCCAGUUCCUUAAUUGCACGUGCAAAGUUCCUUUUGCCAUGUAAGGUGACAUGUUCGCAGGUUCCAGGAAUUGGGACACAGACUGGGACAUGGACUGAGACGUAGACUGGGACAUGGACUAGGAUAAGGACUGGGAUGUGGACAUCUUUGCAGGGCUGUUCUUCUGCCCACCAUAAUGACCAAGGAGAAGCCAGUAAUUAGGAUGUCACAGAGUCUGCGUUUAAAGGGAGACCCUGGAUAGGUGCAGAAAGGAGCUGAAUCACCAGAGCUUGCUUUCUUUUUAAAAUAUCAUGGUAAGAUACUGUUAAAAAAUUAACAUAGUCACAUUAAAACUUUAAAGGGUUUAUGUCAGCAGAAAGCUACUCAUGAAUAGGGCAGCUCCAGAUCCCAGCUGGUUGGGGGUUCUGCUGGAGGGGCUUGGAGGGAAAGCUUUUAUAGGGUGAAUGUGGAAGCAGAGCAAAGAAAUUAUUUAAUUGGUUAAAGUGGAGCAGUCCUUUCAUUUGAACUCUCCAGCCAGGGGGAGUUCCUCGUAAUAGAACUCAUGCUUACUUGGCUGCCUGUGAUUGGCUGAGCGUAAGUUUCUUUUUUUCUUUCUUUUUUUUUUUUUUUUUGAGACAGUCUCACUCUGUUGCCCAGGUUGGAAUUCAGUGGCAUGAUCUCGACUCACGGCAAUCUCGCAAUCUCUGCCUCCCAGGUUCAAGUGAUUCUCCUGCCUCAGCCUACCAAGUAGCUGGGAUUACAGGUGCCCGCCACCAUGCCUGGCUAAUUUUUUUUUGUAUUUUUAGUAGAGGUGGGAUUUCACCAUGUUGGCCAGGGUGGUCAUGAACUCCUGGCCUCAAGUAAUCCACUGGCUUUGGCCUCCCAAAGUGCUGGGAUUACAAGCAUGAGCCACCACCCCUGGCCUUAAGUUUAAUUCUGCUUAUGUAAGAACCCAAGGCAUUAGGGUACCCUUAGUCUGAGGGCCUCCCUUUUAAUUGUUUUAACAAUAUACAAAACAUAAAAUGUAUGGUAUCAAUCACUUUAAAGUGGCUGAGCAGAGAGGCAUUAAGUAUGUUGGCAAUGCUGGGCAACCAUGAACAUUACCUAAACGUAGGAUAUUAUCAAGUCCCUACAAAAAGGAGUUCCCUCAUUCCCUCCUCCGCCGGCCCCUGGUAACCAUCUAUCUACUUCUCAUCUCCAUGAAUGCGCCUAUUCUGGACAACUCAUGUAAAUGGAAUCAGGCACUAUAUGGCCCUUUGUGUCUGGCUUAUUUCACAGAGCAUAACGUUCUCAAGGCUCAGCCACACUGUAGCCUGUGUCAGAACUUCAUUCCUGGCUGGGUGCCGUGGCUCACACCUGUAAUCCCAGCACUUUGGGAGGCUGAGGCGGGCAGAUCACUUGCAGUCAGAUGUUCAAGACCAGCCUGGCCAACAUGGUGAAAACCCAUCUCUACUAAACAUACAAAAAUUAGCCGGGCGUGGUGACACACAUCUUUAGUCCCAGCUACUCAGUAGGUUGAGGCAGGAGAAUUGCUUGAACCUGGGAGGUGGAGGUUGCAGUGAGCCAGGAUCACACCACUUCACUCCAGCCUGGGAGACAGAGCAAGACUCUGUCACAACAAACGAACAAACAAACAAACAAAACUUCAUUCCUUUUUAUGGAGGAACACUACCAUAUUUCAUUGUAUAAAUAUACCACAUUUUGUGAUACACCACUUGGGUUGUUUCCACUUUUUGUCUAUAAUGAAUAAUGCUGCCAAGAACACUCCUAUGCAAAUAUGUAUUUAAACACUGCUUUUGAGUCUCCUAGGUACAUGCCUAGGAGUGGAGAGUUGGUCAUACAGUAAUUCUGUGUUUAUCAUAUCAAGGAGCUGUUGUCGUAUUCUUUUUUUUUUUUUUUUUUGAGAGAGGGUCUCACUCUGUCACCCAGGCUGGAGUGUGGCAGUGCCAUCACGGCUCACUGCAGCCUCGUGUUGUCAUAUUCUUGAUAGAGAUUACAUUAUUUAACCUCAGAACAGCCCUUGGCCCCAAUUAUCUUGGACUUAAGCUGGCAUGAGACCAUGCUGGGUGGUAAGUGUGGGUGUUUCUGAUAUUUAGAGAUAAGGAAGCAGGGGGUCGGGAAGAUGGUAUGGUUUGUCCAAAGGGCUGCUGCAAACAACAGCUAAGGAUGCUUUUCCCUAUUGGUCAAGACCAAUAGAUCUGAGUUGGAAUAACAAUAGAAGGUGGAAGGAGCUGAGUUUGAUGCCUUCAUCUCUUUACAGAAGUAGAAGAUCAGGGCUUGCCAAAACCAGGGGCCAGGCUGAGGGCUUGGGAGGCAGGAGGAGGGCUGAAGCCCCUGCUGUGAGAGAAGGGAUGAGGUUGUGGCCUUGGCAAGGGGUGGAUCAAAGGACCCACUGUCAGGGGGUUUUAAGGACCAUUGAUGGCUGGCCCUGAGAGUAAGUAGAGAACCUGUUGGUGGCUUUCUCCAACUUCCAGGACAGCAGGGCCCCCUGGAUUUGGACAUCGCUGGCCAUGUGCACCCCAUGCUUGUGUGGCUUGAGGCACCUGGCUGUGUGGCUGAGCUUCCUUCUCUGUCAAUCGCUCCCUCCCUCCCUCCCCAGCUCCACUGGGCUCGAGAGCCCUGCAGGCCAUGUCCCUGACCUUCCUGAGUGGUGCCUCUGUGAGCUGAGCGUGAGGCUCACAAACUCAUAUGAAGGUGGGCUGGAG
rnacentral:lncRNA from 10 species